UACAUAGGGGGCGAGCGUUAUCCGGAUUUAUUGGGCGUAAAGCGUGCGUAGGCGGCUAUUUAAGUCUGUCGUGAGAGCCCACAGCUUAACUGUGGAGGGUCGAUGGAAACUGGGUAGCUUGAAUACAGGAGAGGUAAGUGGAAUUCCAUGUGUAGCGGUAAAAUGCAUAGAUAUAUGGAGGAACACCAGUGGCGAAGGCGGCUUACUGGUCUGUCAUUGACGCUGAGGCACGAAAGCGUGGGGAGCAAAC
rnacentral:rRNA from 1 species